AAUAAAGUGCCUGAUUUAAAAGGACUAUUUUGAUAGAAUAGAUUAUGCAAAAAUUUGCCUUUAUUA
rnacentral:tRNA from 1 species